CCUACGCUGCUUCAAGUGUUCCAAAGUUAGAACAUCCCAACAUGAGAUGUACUUUGUUUCCAACUUCAACAGAAAUCCUUAACAGAAAUCUGUGUAAGACGCAGAAAGGCGGGAAGGCCCACAUGCUGUGAUAACCAUUAAGCAGACUUCCCUGGAGCCAGUUGUCAUUCUGGGUGGUGAGGUCAGUCACACAGAGGUCAAAACAAAUUCUACGACGUCACAAUGGCUUUAGCUUCUGCGUGUGGGAAUUUCUCUGUCUCUCUCUCUCUUUCAUAUAUGCAAGCAGACCCGGAUGUCCCACAUUUCCUUUCUGGAAAGGGAUUCACGCGGACGUAGAAAGUUUUGCCCACAGGUACGGCAACAGCCUGGAUCAUAAUAAUUCCUCAUUGAUAAAGAUCAACUUGUACAAUCUGCCCUGAACGGUCAGGAAUAUUUAGCAUCUACAAGACUGUUACAAACAACUUUGCCUUUGAAGGGUGAUAGGGAGAAUCCCAAGAUCAAUGAUGUCAUUGUACUCUCUACGUGACAGCUGGGGGCUAACUAAGGGAGGUGACAUGACCAGCCACCUCACAGCAAAUUCUUGGGAAGGAUUGGGAGCUAAAGCUAUGAUAUGUACGUCUAUCAGGGAACUAUCUCCUUUCACUGAUUAAUGGGGCACAAGCAUCGGUGAGACUUAUAAUCUGAUCAGUUUUAACAACACACAAGAAGAAAAUAAUAGCACCAACAGGCUCAGUAAGAGGACAAACCUUUACAAACACCUCUUUGUUGAUUUUCUCAUGCUGCAAUAGUUAUGUGAAUUGCUAAGGGAAUAAUAACAACUAAUAUUAAUUGAUCAUCUACUAUGUGCCCCACGCUGAGCUAGUCACCCUACAUCAUCUCUGAACCUUACGGUAACACUCUUAGGGGGUUUUAUUAUCUCUGUUUUUCCUGAUGAACAGCUAAAGCUGAGACAAUUUCAGACUUACCUGAGGUCCCAUAGUCAGCAAGAAGCAGAGCCGAGACUCAUCCUCAGGGACAUCUGAUGUUGCUGUCCUAUGUGAGAGCAGCAGCUAGGGACUUUGGGUUUGGCGUUCUGAGAGGUACACCUAUGUCAGAAAUGACCAAACUGUAAAGAAGUUGUGGUGUUGUGGAUAACUUGAUAGGAGGGUGAGAUUUCCGUGAACAACAGAAUCAUAUUAUAGUAGUAAGGGAGAUGUUUUGGUAAUAUAAACAAUACAACAAAUGGAGGAGAAAAAUCUCUUCUACCUGACUAUACUACAAACCAUUUAUCAAAAAUCUUGCCUUUAAUAAAUGUUUUAGAAUAAGCUGUCUAUUCAGGAGGCCACCAUACUGUUUUCUGUCUAUGAGGUGGUAAGUAGAGCGGUUGAGACAACAUGCCUGAAACAAGACUGCCUCAGAUCAAACCCUGGUGGUGCCACUUCCUAGCUGUGACCUUGAACUAACUACUUAUGCUUAGUACCUACCCUACAGGGCUGCCAUGAGGGUUAAACCAUUAACCACACGUGAAGUUCUUAGAAAGCACCUGCUCAAUGGAAAGCACUUGGUCAAUAUUUGUCCAUACUGUGUGCAGAAUAGGGUAUGAAUGGUGUGAUGAAAUCGAAAGUGUGGUCCCCACUUUCAAGGAACUUAGAAACUAGCUGGGAAGAGAGAGCAUCUGCUGAUAAUAUGUCGCAGAAACAGGUACAACAUAAAAACGUCUCCUUUCAUCAAGGUAUACAUUGUUGUAUCAUAAUAAAAAUUAAGUAAAUAACAAUUAAGGAAAUAGAGGAAGUGAGCGGUGACCUGGAUUUUGAAGGAGUUGCUGGUUUACCACUACAAAAUUUUUAAUUAAAGACUUUUGUCAAGACUUGUCCAUUCUCAAUAUUGUCAAUCUUGAUUCGUUAUAUAUUUAAUGAUAACCUUCUCUGUGCAAGACACUGGGAUAGCGGUAACGAAGGACUACAGAUUUGAAAGAGCUCUUAUCCUCAAGGAACUUAUGGUCUGCUAUAAGACGUUAUAUAUUAAUAAAAUACAAGGUAG
rnacentral:lncRNA from 1 species